CCAUGCAAGUCGAGCGGAAACGACAACAUUGAAUCUUCGGAGGAUUUGUUGGGCGUCGAGCGGCGGACGGGUGAGUAAUGCCUAGGAAAUUGCCUUGAUGUGGGGGAUAACCAUUGGAAACGAUGGCUAAUACCGCAUAACGCCUACGGGCCAAAGAGGGGGACCUUCGGGCCUCUCGCGUCAAGAUAUGCCUAGGUGGGAUUAGCUAGUUGGUGAGGUAAUGGCUCACCAAGGCGACGAUCCCUAGCUGGUCUGAGAGGAUGAUCAGCCACACUGGAACUGAGACACGGUCCAGACUCCUACGGGAGGCAGCAGUGGGGAAUAUUGCACAAUGGGCGAAAGCCUGAUGCAGCCAUGCCGCGUGUAUGAAGAAGGCCUUCGGGUUGUAAAGUACUUUCAGUUGUGAGGAAGGGUGUGUAGUUAAUAGCUGCGCAUCUUGACGUUAGCA
rnacentral:rRNA from 1 species